rnacentral:rRNA from 1 species
CCUACGGGUGGCAGCAGUGAGGAAUAUUGGUCAAUGGACGAGAGUCUGAACCAGCCAAGUAGCGUGAAGGAUGACUGCCCUAUGGGUUGUAAACUUCUUUUAUAUGGGAAUAAAAUGUUCCACGUGUGGGAUUUUGUAUGUACCAUAUGAAUAAGGAUCGGCUAACUCCGUGCCAGCAGCCGCGGUAAUACGGAGGAUCCGAGCGUUAUCCGGAUUUAUUUGAGUUAAAGUGAGCGUAGGUGGUUGGUUAAGUCAGUUGUGAAAGUUUGCGGCUCAACCGGAAAAUUGCGGGGCUCAACCCCGGCGAGCCGUUGACACUGGCAGACUUGAGUUGGCGAGAAGGACGCGGAAUGCGCGGUGUAGCGGUGAAAUGCAUAGAUAUCGCGAAGAACUCCGAUUGCGAAGGCAGGGUACCGGCGCCAGACUGACGCUGAGGCACGAAAGCGUGGGGAUCGAACAGGAUUAGAUACCCUAGUAGUC